rnacentral:rRNA from 1 species
UACGUAGGUGGCAAGCGUUGUCCGGAAUUAUUGGGCGUAAAGGGCUCGUAGGCGGUUCGUCGCGUCGGGAGUGAAAACUCGGAGCUCAACUCCGAGCCUGCUUCCGAUACGGGCAGACUAGAGUUCGGCAGGGGAGACUGGAAUUCCUGGUGUAGCGGUGAAAUGCGCAGAUAUCAGGAGGAACACCGGUGGCGAAGGCGGGUCUCUGGGCCGAUACUGACGCUGAGGAGCGAAAGCGUGGGGAGCGAACAGG